GGGGCUGAACGGUAUCGACAGGAAAGAUUAUCGGUUAGUAAGCAUGCAGGGGGAUGAUUGGUUACUCCUUAAAAAUGACAAUCACAACUUAAUUGGCGAAAAUAACUUCGCACUAGCUGCCUAAUUUAGAAUUAGAUAGCUUAUUGGGUCGCCCGCUUGACGUCUGAUACACAGCGGUGCCACCCAUCAAAAAACUUCGGACUAGGAAAGGGAGAUACUUCGAUCUCGGACCGAAAUUAAGAAGAUAAGCUGAUGGCUGGUUGCUUGUACACCUGCCUGAUGUCGAAAAUCUGAGUAUGAGCUAAGCAUGUAGAAAGCUUUCAGUUGCUUUGUCUGGACCAGAGUUCGAAUCUCUGCAGCUCCACUA
rnacentral:tmRNA from 1 species